rnacentral:lncRNA from 1 species
AGACAGGAAAAGGCAGAUUCCUAAAAGAUCUUGAAGACUAGUUUUUAGAGCAGUUUAAGGCUUACAGCAAAGUUGGUAGGCAAGUUCAGUGAUUUCCUUUAACGGCCCCCACCCCUCGCCCCCCCAGAAGGCACAGCCUCCCCCCUCAUCUAUGUUCCCAGCAGAGGGUACAUUUGUGACAUUCACUGAAGCGGUGUUGACUGGAUCAUAGUCCCCGAAGCCCACAGCUUACCUUGGGGUCCUCUCUUGGUGUCGCGCCUUCUACGGGUUUGGGCGAGUGUAUGAUGAUAUUUAUCCAUCAUCACGUUAUCAUACAGAAUAUCUCCACCGCUCUAAAAAUCCUCCAUACUCUGCCCGUUCAUCUCUCUCGUCUGACCCAGGCAACCCCUGAUCUCCACUGUUCUGCCGUUUCUAGAAUGUCGUGUAGUUGGAAUCAGACUCUAUGCAGACUUUUCAGACUGGCUUCUUUCACUUGGUUGCAUGGAUUUAAGGUUCCUUUGUGUCUUUUCAUGGCUUGAUAGCUUCUUUCUGUUUAGUGCUGAAUGAUGUUCCAUUCGCUGGCUGUGUCUGUGUAUUUAACCAUUCCCCUACCAAAGGAUACCUUGAUUGCCCCGGGUUUCUGCAAUGGUAAAGAAAACUCCUACAAACAUCCAUGGACAAGUUCCUGUGUGGACAUAAGCUUUCCGGUUUUUUGAGUGAAUAUCAAGAAGUAUGAUUGCAAGAUCAUAAGAUAAGAGUAUGUUAACUUCAUAAGAAACAACCAAACUGUCUUUCUUAGUGGCUGCGCCACUUUGAAUUCCCAGCACCGUGAACGAGAGUUCCUGUUGCUCCACAGCCUGACCAGUGCUUGGUGGUGUCAGUGAACCAGAUUUUGGCCAUUCUGACAGGUGUGAGUGGUGUCUCCCUGUCGUGUUAAGCGUCAUGUCUCUGACGACACAGGAUGUGGAAGUCUGUUCCUACGCUCAUUUACCAUCUGUGUCUCUUCUCUGGCGAGAUGUUUGCGUAGCUAUUUGGCCCAUUUUCUCAUCAGGUUCUUUUCUUAUUUUGAGUUUUAAGAGUUCUUUCUCUAGUUUGAAUAUCAGUCCUUUAUCAAACGUGUCUUAUGCAAAUAUUUUCCCCCAGUUUGUGCCUUGUCUUCUCAUUCUCCUUCACAGAGCAGAGCCAUUUAAAAUUCCUACAUCUUGGUAAAAUGCUGCUUAUCAGUUAUUAAUUUUAUGGAUCGUGCCUUUGGUGUUAUAUCUAAAAAUCAUUGCCAUGUCCUAGGAGAAAACAUAGUUUUCUCCCAAGUUAUCUUCUGGGAGUUUUAUGGUUUGUGUGUGUGUGUGUUUGACAUUCAGGCCGACGAGUCAUUUUGAGGUAAAAUAUUCUGUUGUUCUUUUGGCCACUCCUGUAGCUUUUGUGGAAAUUCCUGCACCCGGGGUAGAACCUGCACCACAGCAGGGGCCCAAACUGAUGCAAUGACAACGCCAGAUCCUUGACCUGUGGCCCUGCAGGAGAAGGCCAAUUUUCCAUUAAUUUUUGUCAAAUGUAUAAGGUCUGCAUGGAGAAUCUUCUUCUUUUUUUUUUUUUUUUUUUUUUUUUCCUGUGUGGACGUCCAGCCGUUCCAGCACCAUUUGUUGAAAAACUAACUUUGCCCAUUGUAUUGUCUUUGCUCCCACUACCAGUUGGCUCUAUUUGUGUGUGUCUAUUUCAGGAUUCUAUUCUGUUCUAUGAACGUGUUUUCCUGUCUUUUUACGAAUAUCACCCCAUCCCGAUCACUACAGUUCUGUCGGAAGGCUUAAGACCCAGUAGAGUCAGUCAUCCUGCUUUGUUUUUCUCCUUCCAUAUUGUGCUGCUUUUCUGGACUUUUUGACUCUCCAUAUACAUUUUAUUUUAUUAAAAAAAUUUUUUUUGUCUUUUUAGGGCCACACCUGUGGCACAUGGAGGUUCCCAUGCUAGGGGUCCAGUUGGAGCUGAAGCUGCUGGCCUGCACCACAGCCACAGCAACACGGGAUCUGAGCCACAUCUGAGACCGACACCCCAGCUCAUGGCAACGCUGGUCCUUCGCCCACUGAGCGAGGCCAGGGAUCGACCCCACAUCCUCAUGGAUGCUAGCCAGGUUCACUAACCGCUGAGCCAUGAGGGGAACUCCUCCAUGUACGUUUUAGAAUCCAUUUGUGGUAUCCACAAAGAGCUGCCUAGGAUUUUGAGUGGGAUGCCUUAAAUCUACAGAUCAAAUUCGGAAGAGCUGGCCUCUUAACCACUGCCUUCCUCUCCACGAGCUUGGAACCUCUCUCCACUCAAUUAGUUCUUCUUUGAUUUCUUUCAUCAGUUUUGUAGCUUUCCUCACAUAGAUUUUGUUCCCGUUUUGUUAGGUUUAUUAUAAGCAUUUCCUUUUUCGGGGGCUCAUGUACAUGAUACUGUGUUUUAAAUGUCAAUUUCCAGUUAUUCAUUGCUAGUAUAUGAACUAGGAAUGUGACUUUUGUAUUUUAAGCUUAUAUCCUGCAGUCUUGCUAUAAUUGCUUAUUAGUCCCCAGAGUUUUCUGAUUCUUCGGAUUUUCUGUUUAGAUGACGUGCCAUUUGCGCACAAACACAGCCUUAGUCCUUCCUUCCCAACCUGCAUACCUUUUAUUUCCUUUUCUUGCCCAACUGCAUUAGCAAAGACGUUCCAUACAAGGUUGAGAAGGUGGUACAGCUGGUUUUUCCGCUCAGCAGUGGAUAUUUGUUGUUUCUGGGUUUUGCCUGCUCUGAGGAGAGCUGCUUUGUUCAGAUCAUACAGCACAUGUGUGGACAUAUGUGCUCUCUUCUCAUGGGGAAGCGCCCAGGCGUGGGAUGCUGCAUUGCAGGUCAAAGAGAUGCCGGACGGUCCGAGGCACAGCCGAGCUCCUGUCCAAGGCGGGUUUCUGAUGGGCAGCGUGUCGGUGGCUUUUGACGCUCAUCUGAUAGUCUCUGCCUUCCAGUCAGAGUAUUUAGACCAUUUAAGUUUUGCUGACUCUGGACGGAGAGGGUUGAAACCUACCCUCUUCCUAAAGCUUUUUGCUUUUGUCCUGUUUGUCCUUUGUUACUUCCCCCUUUUUUGCCUUCUCUUGGGGCCUCUUCUACAAUUCCAUUUUACUGCACCUGUCAGCUGACCAGUGACCCUUCGGGGGCUUUUCAGUGACGGGGCAGCACCGUGACUCUCACGUUCGCCCCUCGCUCAGACACAGAAGAAUUCAGAGACACGGGUCUCUGCAGGGCUUCCUGCCCACUAGGAGUUUGCAGCAUUUGCCUCAUGUGGGAGAGAGGUCCAGGGACUGCCCAGUUUCUCCUCUGCAGCCCUCGGGGCGGCGGCGUGGUGGGGGGCAUUUCUGUCCCUCUUCUGGGCACCUGGCAGCUGGCACAGGCCCUCCCUGUAGCCAAGCCAGCUCCCCAGCUUGUUUUGCCCUUAGGAAUCCAUCAAACCCUCAGCCACAUUCCUUUUAUCUGAGGUCCGGGCCACCGUGCUUUGGUCAGAAUCAUCUGAGGUUUUGUUUGCUUCAUUUUGUUUGGUGCAAGAGGCAAGGAGCAGAUGGUAUACUGUUAACAGAUGGAGAGGAAACCAGAAAGCCUCCAGUCUCUUCUCUGCUUCCUUUAUGUAAAAACGGAGUUCCUGCAGAAAGGACACGCAGGCUUGCUGGGAGUGAGAUCCCAACAGAGAAGAACGCGACACCUGCUCUCCAAGGGCGUGUGGGCAGUCCGACCCAGAUAACCUGAAAGACCUUGGGAACGCGUGUGAAGUGCUUGGAGGGAACCUCUCUGGAAUCUUGAAGAACGAGACAGACACCAGGACAGAAGAGGUGGCAGACGCGCCAGCUCUUGGGGCGGGGAGGAGGAGACUACGGAUGCGCAAGCUCACUGUCCACAGGUGGGUAGUUUUGGUCUAGAGGUCAACUGCGUCCCGAGAAAUGCUCGGGGAAGAAAGGAACAAGCAUUGGCUCAUUGAAAGGAAAAAGCCAAGGUCGCCUCCUCCUGCGUAUGAAGUCUUAGGAGGUGGGGGAAGCCGCCUGGGUCUGCUUCCAUCGGGGCGGGGGGAGGAAAAAGGCAACAGCACACGUGCGUGAAUUCAGAGCUGGACCCAGGGAAUUUUAAUGCUGUGUCCCUGCAUCUAUUCUGCUCAAAACUGAUUCUCUCUCAUCCCAGUGACGGUGGGAUCACUGUGACUGAGCAGCCUCGUGUCUAAAAUAAUAAAAUAUCCGCCCCAAUGAGGAAGGGUAAGGGCGUGGCGGGGCACAGUCUUUGUCUUCCUUGCGUGUUGCUGGUGCGGCCGGUGGGGAGGCCGUCGAGCCGAGGUCCGCCCGUCGCCGUUGGCCCUCGCGCCCUUCACUUUGUCCCAGAGCCACCGUGUCUGCGGAGAUGCUCGCCGCUGUGGGCGAGGGUGGUGCCAGACGCAGGGAAAGGCCAGGGGACACGCACAACGAGACAUCUGAACUUGGCAAAGUACGAAAGCUCCCCGCUUGCGAACUCUCUGGACCCCAGACUAGAGAACGCGAUGUCCCGAGCUGAGUCUCUGUGCCUAGAAUUGGGGGGCAGGGGGCGCACGGGCCUCGAAGGGCUACCGAGCUCCCGGCAGUCCCGCCUCAGCCUGGGGCGCCCGCAACAGCGCCUCGGUCCCCCUGAGGCCGAGCAGAGGCUUCUUCACGCUCCUCCUGGUGAGUGAUGGGCGCAGAGUUCACGUGAGCCCACGAGCACCUUGAACGCCAGGUAAGCCUUUCCGUUUCCCCAGGUCCUUGGAGGAUCCGUUCAGCACUCCAGGUGAUGGUGCGCCAGAAAGAGCAGCCUGGACGUUCCAAACCCUUCGAAGCAUCGCAGCGCCGUCAAGGCACCAACAGGUAAACCUCAGGCCGGAGAAGCCACAGGGGUUUCCAGCCACAGCGGCCAAGCUGAGCUCAAGCGUUUCAAGCAACCCCUUCAAGAAAGAGCCGACUUGGGGGUCCCCAUGCCGCUCACUCAGAGAACCAGGUAGGGGAUCCGGGUCCCUGCUCUUGGGAAGAAUUUUGAUCAAGUUCAUCAACCCCUGAAAGAGUUGAGAAAUAUUUUACCACAUUGGAAAAACGACUGAGGCCAGCAGAGGCAAAGAGGUGGGCCGGUCGGCUCCCACAGGCCUGUGGUCCGAGCCUGGGCCUCUUCCUGCCCAGGGCAGCACGACAGGAUCCGUUCCCUGUUCCUGCUCCUUCUCUUCAGCCCCUCCCGUCAAUUCCUUCUCCCAGCUGCGUGGGCAUUUGAUACCAGGUCCCCGAAGGGUGAGCCCUUGCUCAGAGACCUCUCCACUGUCCGCACCCCCAGACGAGGGCACGAUUUCAGAACACCUGCUCUCCUUGCCGUCACUUCUCCACGUGACUCCCAGCCCACGAGCCACCUCUGCAAAGGACCGAGGCCAGCAAACCUCUUCCUGAUGUACAGCCAGUGGGACUCAGCUGCGUCCUGGACCGAUUCACUUCUCACAAAAUUAUCCUGACAGCCUCGCUUGCUGACCUCGGGGAACCCAGACUGAACCCGUUGCCUUGCCUUUGGGACCAGGACGGGCGUUGUUUAAAGAUGGGCCCUGUAUGUCGCUCCAGAUCAGAAUGUUUUCCUUUUAUAGCAUUUUAACAGCUUUUCCCAGAAAACAUCAGCCUUACACUGUGUCACGCUGUAUUUAAUUGCACAAUAUGCUCGGCUCUUUAAAAGAAUGUUGGAAAGAUUAAGUUUUAAAAUGAUAAGCCUGG